UGACACCAUAAAUGGCAGGAAUUCUCAAAAUGUAGGAUGUUCCCUUUACUGUGAAGGAGGAUCACAGUGGCCCUGUUGUUGAAGUGAGGAGAAAGCUGUAAGUCUAAAGCAUGAUCUUGGUUACCAUGCAGACCUAUGAUGAAAAUGAAGUUGACUUCACCAGCCCAAAGUACAGGAAUAUGAAGGUGAAACAACCCCUCAAGAAGAGACUUUGUUGGUUGUUGGGUAAAGUGGAAAAAUGAGAAAAUCCAAAGGGAGAAGGUUUAGGACACAGAAGGCUGAGAAAAGAAGCAGAAAGAGUUCAUAACAACUAGAAGUAUGGUGACAAAAAAGGCAAAGUAAGAGUCCCAGUCUGUACCAGCUACUGGAGGGCUCUGCAUUCAUGGAUACUCACAAUUAAAAGCAGCCUGAAUGACUUUCA